rnacentral:rRNA from 1 species
CCUACGGGAGGCAGCAGUGGGGAAUUUUGGACAAUGGACGCAAGUCUGAUCCAGCCAUGCCGCGUGCGGGAAGAGGGCCUUCGGGUUGUAAACCGCUUUUGUCAGGGAAGAAACGGGUUUCUCUAAUACAGAGACCUAAUGACGGUACCUGAAGAAUAAGCACCGGCUAACUACGUGCCAGCAGCCGCGGUAAUACGUAGGGUGCAAGCGUUAAUCGGAAUUACUGGGCGUAAAGCGUGCGCAGGCGGUUAUGCAAGACAGAGGUGAAAUCCCCGGGCUCAACCUGGGAACUGCCUUUGUGACUGCAUAGCUAGAGUACGGUAGAGGGGGAUGGAAUUCCGCGUGUAGCAGUGAAAUGCGUAGAUAUGCGGAGGAACACCGAUGGCGAAGGCAAUCCCCUGGACCUGUACUGACGCUCAUGCACGAAAGCGUGGGGAGCAAACAGGAUUAGAUACCCUGGUAGUCCACGCCCUAAACGAUGUCAACUGGUUGUUGGGAGGGUUUCUUCUCAGUAACGAAGCUAACGCGUGAAGUUGACCGCCUGGGGAGUACGGCCGCAAGGUUGAAACUUCAAAGGAAUUGACGGNUUGNGAGNGCGAGACGACGACGAGGGAGAGG